UUAUUAAUUUGCAAGUUAAGUCGUUAAGAAGUCGUUAUGACAUUACUGGACGAUUAUUUGUACGGCAAACCACUAUAACCAAUUAAAAUGUUGUAGAUGGCCAUAGAGUUUUUAGGCACUUAUUAUACUCUAUAUGUUAUUAUAUGUACAGAUAUACAGCAUAAUAUCCACACUCGACAGUAUGAUAGUAAAAAUUUAAUAUUUAACUACAAAAAUAUAUAAUAAUAUGCUGUACAGUAUUGCUCACAUGAUUGCCAACGUUCGAUAAUGAAUACGGCACUAAAAGAAGAAGAUGUUGACAAUAUUAUAAUAUUGUUUAUUUCCAUUUUGACGCUAAUCUACAAAUAAAAAUGCCAAUGAAGUAACAUUUUAUAAGACACUAAAGAAAUUAUUGUUAUAGUUCUAAGAGCGUGUCUUAUUAGAACCACCUUGGCGUGUAAAAGUGCUAUGAAGUGUUUCAGAACUUUAUCCGAUAUAGGUAGUUCAUUUACCACUGAGCUUAAAAGUUGCAAUAAAUGUUAAACGAAUAAAAAGUUAAAACAAUGGGUUUUUUUUUUAAUAGAUGGCCCCAAAAGUUCAUGGUAGCCACUCCUAUUACAAAUACCUGCUGUGUCGUUGCAAGAGUUAACCAAGCAUCAAUUUUGGGACCGAAAGGAUGUCUAAAAACUUCAUAUUGUUCAUUAAUGCGUUCGAAUCUCGAUUAUGGUGUCCAUAUUAUGGAAUUCAUCUCGGCCGAAUCGCUUAAGUCGUUGGUAUGAAGUGAAACCCAUUCCUGUGAUUGAUGUCGUUAAAGUAUGAUUGUCUGGGUCUUCCUCUUGGUCGUUUCCCCAUAAUCUUCCCAUCUUGCUUCAGUAUAGAAACAAAAAGGUGGUGUUGGAAUUUGCGAGUUCAAUAGUUUCAAUGGACCUGUAAAAAUUGCCUGCUUCGAAUUUCUACUAGCGUUGAUUUUGACUUUAAUUUACAGAGUAAAAUUGUACACUUAAGUUUUUAGGGAUUCAUUUUAAUGAAACUGAAAAUUUAGACAUUCCAAAUAUAAAUGCAAAUUUUUGUGUCGGUUCUUCGUGGAAAUUGGAAUGACCCAAUAAAAAUGUUGUUGUUUUGAAAUUGUUUUUUGUUUUAAAU